CUCCCAAACCCCUGUGAACAUACCUAUCGUUGCUUCGGCGGAUCCGCCCCGGUGCCUUCGGGCCCGGACUCAGGCGCCCGCCGGGGGACCCAAACUCUUGUAUUUCUUUAGUAUCUUCUGAGUAAACAAGCAAAUAAAUUAAAACUUUCAACAACGGAUCUCUUGGUUCUGGCAUCGAUGAAGAACGCAGCGAAAUGCGAUAAGUAAUGUGAAUUGCAGAAUUCCGUGAAUCAUCGAAUCUUUGAACGCACAUUGCGCCCGCCAGUAUUCUGGCGGGCAUGCCUGUUCGAGCGUCAUUUCAACCCUCAAGCCCCCGGGCUUGGUGUUGGGGCUCGGCCCGUCCCUAGCGGCGCGCCGUCCCCGAAAUCUAGUGGCGGUCACGCUGUACUCCUCUGCGUAGUAAUCUAACCUCGCAACGGGACAAAGCGCGGCCACGCCGUUAAACCCCCAACUUCUGAAGGUUGACCUCGGAUCAGGUAGGAAUACCCGCUGAACUUAAGCAUAUCAAUAAGCGGAGGA
rnacentral:rRNA from 1 species